GCAGGGGGCGCUGUUGGCUGUGCCCAGCCGGGGGCGUGGCUGGUAUUCAGGCCGUGGCGGGUGAGGGCGCUGGGGGAGCAGGCAGAGCAGCUGU
rnacentral:miRNA from 1 species